ACCCCGUGCACUGCCAGCCUGGGAACCACAACGACCAAGCCCUGCCCGGCCCUCGCCGGCUCUCCUGAGUCCCGCCCUCUGUCAUUUGGGGCUCCGCCUCCGAGCCUUUAGCCCCGCCCCUAAAACCUGGGCACCUGGAUCUCCUCCCUGCUUAGCGCGUCCUCCCCCACCCCCCACCCCAAGACCAGAGUCCCUAACUGUGAAAACCCCGGGCCUCCUAGGCCUGGUCCUGGUCGCUCCCUUCCCUCUCUCUGUUUCUCAGGCUGCGUGCCAGUGAGCCGUGAGGCAGCACCUCCGGCUGGCCGCUUGCGGGCUCCCCCGUGAGGGAGGGAAGGUUGGUAGGAUCACAAUGGAGGCUUUAAUCGCCGCAGCCUCCUGUGGGACUCUGCUGCACACCCCUCGAGCAUACCAAACAUGGAGUGUCAGUGAAACUCAGACCUGGCUCCCUAAGUGGGCCUAGGAGGCCUUACUUGAAAUCCUUGUUAAUUCGACCCAUUUGACAGAUGUUGACUCCCAGGCCGGAUUGGCCUAAUUCUGCUCCUGUUGUGUGGCCUCCUCCCUCUAACCUUCACCUACUUGGUCUCAAGUAUGCUCAGCGGGACCGGGCCAACCCUGCUGCUCUUUUAUCACAGGUUGUGGUCCUCUCCCUCUUGUCCUCUGCUCUGGACUCUGCCCCCAGUAACAGGUCAGGUGGGUGCUACUCCUAGACUCAGAGAAUGGCCGAACAGCCCUGUGGAUUCAUGCCCCUACCAGGGCCAAAAUGACGAGCAGGCAGCCAGGACCCUCGCCAAGGUAGAAUGUCCCCAGGGGUUGCUGUCUAUUAAGCCACUGCAGGCGACAACUGACUGAAUGUCUACCAGGACAGCAUUCUGAAGGUGCCCUGAAUGUCAGUGGGGG